rnacentral:rRNA from 1 species
UACGUAUGGACCAAGCGUUAUCCGGAUUUACUGGGUGUAAAGGGAGCGUAGACGGUAGGGCAAGUCUGAUGUGAAAGCCCGGGGCUCAACCCCGGUACUGCAUUGGAAACUGUCCAACUAGAGUGCAGGAGAGGUAAGUGGAAUUCCUAGUGUAGCGGUGAAAUGCGUAGAUAUUAGGAGGAACACCAGUGGCGAAGGCGGCUUACUGGACUGUAACUGACGUUGAGGCUCGAAAGCGUGGGGAGCAAACAGGAUUAGAUACC